rnacentral:rRNA from 1 species
AUACGUAGGGGGCUAGCGUUAUCCGGAUUUACUGGGCGUAAAGGGUGCGUAGGUGGUUUCUUAAGUCAGGAGUGAAAGGCUACGGCUCAACCGUAGUAAGCUCUUGAAACUGGGAAACUUGAGUGCAGGAGAGGAAAGUGGAAUUCCUAGUGUAGCGGUGAAAUGCGUAGAUAUUAGGAGGAACACCAGUAGCGAAGGCGGCUGUCUGGUCUGCAACUGACGCUGAGGCUCGAAAGCAUGGGGUAGC